AUGUCUUCUUUUGCUCGGAGCUUCUCACAAGAAACCCAGGCAGUCUUCUCUCCAUUUCUUGCAUUGAUCUCGUUCUCCAGCACGUACCUGGUUCAGGGCUUGCAAGGAACAUGGUGGAAUUGCUUCAGACAGCUACCACCAUCCACGCUCCUGCAACUGACUCUGUACAGCCAGGCCUCUGACUGCACAGCCUCUGGCAAAGGACACAAGGGACCACUCUGCUUUGGGGGGCCCAGCUGCAGAAGGCAGGAGGCAAUGGUGCACACUCAAGGCCAAGCAGCCUGGUUAUAUUCAGAGAGACCGUAA
ensembl:lncRNA